rnacentral:siRNA from 1 species
ACUUGCUACUUGUGAGUUACUUAC